UGAAUCAAUAAAAAGAGUGUUUUGUCUUUAGCGUUUGAUUCUCGAAACCUUGAUACACAAAUCGUAUCAUGAUCCCUAGAGUUCUGGUCAAACAUCUCAUUUAGAAAAUAAGAUUAAACCUAACGUAGUAUACAAGGAAUAAAAGUUAAUCCAUGCAUUGUCAGUAAGUUUGUAAAUCUAGGCUAUUAUAUCAUCGGUUUUUAAUCCGUUUUGGUGAUUUUUAGGUUCAAAGAUUUUUCAUUCCCACUAUGAAUUUGAAUUUGUAUCCAAAAGCUUUUUUUUUAUCUCUAAGAAAUUUUAAGAUUUAGUAUUUUCUAGAGAUUUGAGUCCAAGCGACAUGUUUGUGUGAGAUUUGACUUUUUCUAAGAAGCUGCAAAAACUAUGUUAGAUGUUAGUCGGUUCUGAAUUAUAUUUGUCAAAAUUUCACAAUCAUUAACAGAUCUCAUGAAAAAUACAGUUUAAGAUGAGUGCUUCUUGACAAAAAAAAACGGCAAGAAUGGUGAGACAUUGCCUUGUUACAUUGUUACAUGCUUGUGUGAUAUUUGACUUUUCUUUGCUGGUAAUAGAAGUAUUAAUUAACCAUGCAUAUACAUGUUGUAUCCAGUUAAAAUCUACGUUACUCUAUAAUUUAAUUAACAUAUAGGCUUUAAUGAUAAUAGACCCAGAUGCGGACGGACCUGUGAAUUAGGGGGCCUUAUUCAAAAAUAAAAAUUUAAUAACUAUAGUUUAAACAACAUCUUAAAAUAAUUAUGAACAAAACUAUAGAUAGAUUCUAAGGAGAAAAAGCUGAAAGACAUUGUCGCAAGUUUCGUCUUUCAAUUUUAAAGAGUGUGACCGAUGGUUUGAUUAGUGUAGACCUGGGGAUUUUACCCGAACCGGAACCAAUCCGAAAAUACAAAUUCGAGUCGGAGUCUGGAUCUAGGCUAAAAUACUUAUUGGGUAUAAUUAUUUUGGAUCCGCGGGUUUCAGUUCGUGUCCGAAUCCUGCUAGAGACCCGGUCGGAUACCCAAAAUACCCGAUACUUCUAGUAUAUAUUGAGUAUUUUUGGGUGUUUGGAUAUAUUUUUGGUAUCAUGGAUAUUACUUUUAAGUUUUAGAUUCAGGUUUUUGGUAUAGUUUAAGGUUUCAGGUAAAUUUUAGAUUUUAAGAAAUAUAAUUUGAGUAUUUGAAUAAUUUUGGGUAUUUUUUAGAUCUUCGGAUCAGAUUUCAGGUACAAAUUCGGGGGUUUUUGAGUUUUUGGGUAUUUUUUCGGGUUUUCGGUAUUUUUUGAGUUUUCAGGUGUUUUUCAGAUAUUCAGAUCUAAUUCGGGUACUUUGAAUCUUAAAUACUCGAACCCACACGAACCUGAAAUAUACCAAAAAAUUAUGAGUAUUUUGCGAGUAUAUAAAUUAUAAAACCAAACUUAUCCGGAUUAGUGUAACAAAAGUUAGAGUAAAAUAUUUUACUCUCAGUUUCACUCAAUUACAUCCAAUACUCUAGAAAAGGAAUCUUUUAUUUGUUGUUUCCACUUUUUUUUUUCUACCCUACAAAAGCAAGAGUAAACCGGCGGAAACAAAAAGCAACAUAUAUCUUUCCACUUUAUUUUUACUUUAAUUUACUCCAAUUUAGGCUGUCCACGGACCAGUCAUACCCAAAAAGAGAUGCCUUUAUUUUACUUUUUGUUUUUUUUUUUAUAAUAUUUACGGAGCAUCAUUUAAAUGAACUACCUGAGAUCCACAUAAUAUUCUAUAUGUAUGCUGAGUAUUAAGUUAAAAAAGAAAUGAAAUACAAAUGGUAGAAUAACUUACUCACCAGUGUCACUUGUGAGCGGUAGACAAUGACCUACAUAAUGUUUUCAUAAAUAUCACGUACGUAUAAAAAAUGGAAGUGGGGGACAAUAGAGCGGAGCCCCAUACCAAUGUUUCAUAUAACUCGGCUCUGAAUAGAGCUUUAAUGAUUUUCUAUGGAUUGUGUCAACAAAAUUUGCAGCACGAUCUCAUAUUAUAUAUUAUAUUAGUCAACUAACUACACUCUUAGCUGCAUCAAAAUUUUAUAUAACUCUAGAUUUUGACAUUGAUUUUUUUAAGUUAAAAUUAGAUUUUGGUUCCAUAGGCCUUGAAAAACUGACCCAAGACCACAACAAGUGACGUCUGUACUGUAAAGAUGUCAUAUCUACUCGACCAGAGAGUUUCAGUCUGUUAUAAAUAGAGAGAACUACAUUUGAAGCUUCUACAACCAUUCAACUCUUUUACAAGCUUCAGAAUCUUUCACUUCUCUUGUAAAAUUUGCUCGAAAACAUCUCAUUUUCGUUUCGAUUAAUGCCAAAAAUGAGUAGUGAUUCUCAUAAACUCCAUGUUAUGUUCUUCCCUUUCAUGGGAUAUGGCCACAUGAUCCCAACUCUAGACAUGGCUAAGCUUUUCUCCAGCAGAGGAGCCAAAUCCACAAUCAUCACCACACCUCUCAACGCCAAGAUCCUCCAAAAACCCAUCAACACAUUCAAGAGCCUGAACCCAAGCCUCAAAAUCGAGAUCCUGAUCAUCGAUUUCCCUUGCGUGCAGCUGGGGUUACCAGAAGGAUGUGAAAACCCUGAUUUUUUCACCUCAAACAACAACAGCGACGAAAGACAAACCAUGAUGUUAAAAUUCUUUGCCUCCAUGAGGUUUUUCAAAGACCAGCUUGAGAAGAUCCUCGAGACAACGAGACCAAGCUGUCUUAUCGCUGACAUGUUCUUCCCAUGGGCCACAGAAGCUGCUGAGAAGUUCAAUGUGCCAAGACUUGUGUUCCACGGCACUGGCUAUUUCUCAUUAUGCUCUGAACAUUGCAUCAGAAGAAUGCAUAAACCAAAAAAGAGCUGUGAGCCAUUUAAGGUCCCUGACCUCCCUGGGGACAUUACGAUGACUCAAGGACAGAUGAGAGACCUUGACGAAGAAACCGAGAUGGGGAAGUUUCUGAUCGAGGUUAUAGAAUCUGAAGUGAAGAGCUCUGGUGUUGUUGUGAAUAGCUUCUACGAGCUUGAACCUGAAUACGCAGAUUUUUACAAGAGUUCUGUAGCGACGAGAGCUUGGCAUAUUGGUCCGCUCUCGGUUCACAACAGAGGAUUUGAGGAGAAGGCUAAGAGAGGAAAGAAAGCGAGCAUUGAUGAGGUUGAAUGUCUCAAAUGGCUUAACUCCAAGAAACAAGAUUCGGUUAUUUACGUUUCAUUUGGGAGCGUUGCUUACAUCAAGAACGAGCAAUUGAUAGAGAUCGCUGCAGGGUUAGAAGCUUGUGGCGCAAGUUUCAUUUGGGUUGUGAGAAAACGUGGUGAAAGCAAAGGUACUGAUAGACAAAACACAUGCAUUGAUUGUCUGUUCACAAUAGUUUAUACCAUCGGUUCUAACUGAAACAAUUUUUCUUAAACUCCUAUUUAUACGAUUCAAAUCGGUUUAGAUCAUUUUAAAUCGGGUUAAACCAUUCAAAAUUGGUUAAAAUCGAUUUAAAUUAGUCUAAAUCCGUUAAAUUAUUGUUUGUUCACAAUAGGUUAUACUAAAGUACUAGAGUCGUGUUUGAAAAAAUAACAGCCUAUGUUCGGUUUCUAUGUCUUUAUAUGAAAACAGGCGAAGAAGAAUGGUUACCAGAAGGGUUUGAAGAGAGGGUGAAAGAGAGAGGAAUGAUAAUAAGAGGAUGGGCUCCACAGGUGAUGAUACUUGACCACCAAGCAACCGGUGUUUUCGUGACUCAUUGCGGCUGGAACUCGGUUCUUGAAGGAGUGGCUGCAGGGCUUCCGAUGGUGACGUGGCCGGUUGGAGCGGAGCAAUUCUAUAACGAGAUAUUGGUAACGCAAGUGCUGAAGACGGGAGUUAGCGUGGGAACCAAGAAACAUGCGAGUAUGGGAGAUUUUGUUAGCAGAGAGAGUGUGGAGAAAGCGGUGGGGGAGGUGUUGGUUGGGGAAGAGGCCGAGGAGAGGCGAAGACGGGCAAUGAAGCUGGCUGAGAUGGCUAAAUCCGCCGUGGAAGGAGGGUCUUCUUAUAACGACCUAAGCAACUUCAUAGAAGAGUUCAGCUCAUGAUGAUAUGAUCCGGUUAACUCCUGCUUUUGAGUUUGAAACUACUUAAAUGUAGCAGAUCAUUUUUGAGUUGGUUUGAUAAUAUCAAUUUUCGUUUGAAUUUGAAUUUUUUUUAUUUUUUAUGAAGAUGCAAAAUCAUAUGAGAGUAGUUCAAAUUCUGUUUGGUCGUCGUGUUUGGUGGUUAUAAGAAUAUUUACUUUUAUCAAAUGGAAUAAACAGAUUUGCUACUAGCUAUGGCAGAUUUAAGGGUUCUGCUAUGUUGAGUUCUCGGUUUCCCGCUUGAUCUGCAGUGCAGCCCUAACAACGUUUCCCCUUGUCAGGAUCCCAAUCUUUGUUGCGACCAAACCAAAACAAUAAAAAUGACCAAAAUCAGAUCAAAAUCAAACUGAAAAAUAAUAAUAAGAAGAGAAGAUUGUGUAUUUUUAGAUUCUCUCACCAGUUUUCCAUCUGAAUCCACGACUGGUAAUCUUCGGAACUUUGUUUCAAGAAGCAACCUGGAGACAACAGAUGGUUACAAAUCUUUGUAAGAAAUGUAGCUUUCAGACCGAACUCAUAUUCUGCGAGGAGGAUAACCUGGCAGCAUCUUCUAGAUUGGUGGAACCACGGACAACCAGAGGAGAAGGAGUCAUAUUUGUGCGCUAAUUAUUGCAUGAAAGUGCAUAAACCACAGAACAAAGUAGCUUCGAGUAGUGAGCCUUUUGUAAUCCCUGAUCUCCCCGGUGACAUAGAGAUAACUCGAGAACAGAUCAUAGACAACGAAUCCGAGAUGGGAAUGUUUCUUCUUGAUGUAAGAGAGUCAGAAACGAAGAGCUCAGGUGUUAUUGUGAACAGCUUCUACGAGCUUGAACCUGAAUACGCUGAUUUUUUCAAGAGAUUUGUAGCGAAGAGAACGUGGCAAAUCGGCCCGCUCUCCGUUACAAACAGAGGAUUUGAGGAGAAGGCUGAGAGAGGAAAGAAAGCGAGCGUUGAUGAAUCUGAAUGCCUUAAAUGGCUUGACUCCAAGGAAAAAGAUUCAGUCAUUUACAUUUCAUUUGGGAGCGUUGCUUGCUUCAAGAACAAGCAACUGGUAGAGAUCGCCGCAGGGUUAGAAGCUUGCGGCGCAAGUUUCAUCUGGGUUGUGAGGAAAAGCACAAGUGACGACGACAAAGAAGAAUGGUUACCAGAAGGGUUUGAAGAGAGGGUCAAAGGGAGAGGGAUGAUAAUAAGAGGAUGGGCUCCGCAGGUGCUGAUACUUGAGCACCAAGUGACCGGUGGGUUCUUGACUCAUUGCGGCUGGAACUCGCUUCUUGAAGGAGUGGCUGCAGGGCUACCGAUGGUCACAUGGCCUAUUGGAGCUGAGCAGUUCUAUAACGAGAAACUGGUUACACAAGUACUGAGAACGGGAGUGAGCGUUGGAGCCACAAAGCAUGUGAAGAAUAUGGGAGAUGAGAUUAUUAGCAGAGAGAAAGUAGAGAAGGCUGUGAGAGAGGUUUUGGCUUGGGAAGAGGGGGAGGAGAGGAGGAUACGGAUAAAGAAACUGGCGGAGAUGGCUAAAGCCGCUGUGGCAGAAGGAGGGUCUUCUUUUAACGAUCUAAACAACUUCAUACAUGAGUUCAGUUCGUGAUCUGAUACGCACGCUGCUGCUCGUCGACCAGUGAUCAUUCAGUACCAGAGGAGAGGUAGAAAGAAGUGUUGAACCGGGAGGAGCCGUGGUACGAGAUACGUUGGUUUGAUUGGUCAUCUUUAUGCUAGAAGCUAUAGUACGUGUGGAAUAAAGCGAAGAGAGGAGGAAGAUCACUCACACGUGUGAGUAACGGUAGCACAUGAGCUGUCUUGUGUGACGUGUAUGUCCUUUCGUAGCUAUAAGUAGUAGGAGAGUAAGGGGUGUGUGUUAGGCAUGAUUUGGUAGUAACAAGAUAGAGAGAGAAAACAACGUCUUGUAUUACUUUCCUUGAAUCAAUAAAAAGAGUGUUUUGUCUUUAGCGUUUGAUUCUCGAAACCUUGAUACACAAAUCGUAUCAUGAUCCCUAGAGUUCUGGUCAAACAUCUCAUUUAGAAAAUAAGAUUAAACCUAACGUAGUAUACAAGGAAUAAAAGUUAAUCCAUGCAUUGUCAGUAAGUUUGUAAAUCUAGGCUAUUAUAUCAUCGGUUUUUAAUCCGUUUUGGUGAUUUUUAGGUUCAAAGAUUUUUCAUUCCCACUAUGAAUUUGAAUUUGUAUCCAAAAGCUUUUUUUUUAUCUCUAAGAAAUUUUAAGAUUUAG
rnacentral:lncRNA from 1 species